rnacentral:rRNA from 1 species
UUGGAGGGCAAGUCUGGUGCCAGCAGCCGCGGUAAUUCCAGCUCCAAUAGCGUAUAUUAAAGUUGUUGCAGUUAAAAAGCUCGUAGUUGAACUUCAGACCUGGCUGGGCGGUCCGCUUAACGGCGUGUACUGUCUGGCUGGGUCUUACCUCUUGGUGAGCCGGCGUGCCCUUUAUUGGUGUGCGUCGGGGAACCAGGACUUUUACCUUGAGAAAAUUAGAGUGUUCAAAGCAGGCCUAUGCCUGAAUACAUUAGCAUGGAAUAAUAAAAUAGG